UUCUGCUUGCAGAGGCUAGUAAAGUGGCGCACGGGUGAGUAACACGUGGGUAAUCUACCUCCGAAUUGGGGAUAACAUUGCGAAAGCGAUGCUAAUACCGAAUAACAUUCCAGGAUCUGCGGAUUUUGGAAUCAAAGGUGGCCUCUUCAUGAAAGCUACUGUUUGGAGAUGAGCCCGCGGCCCAUUAGCUUGUUGGUGGGGUAAUGGCCUACCAAGGCGACGAUGGGUAGCUGGUCUGAGAGGAUGAUCAGCCACACUGGAACUGACACACGGUCCAGACUCCUACGGGAGGCAGCAGUGAGGAAUUUUGCGCAAUGGGGGAAACCCUGACGCAGCAACGCCGCGUGAGUGAUGAAGGCCUUCGGGUCGUAAAGCUCUGUCAAGUGGGAAGAAACCGCAAUCGGUUAAUACCCGGUUGUCUUGACGGUACCACUGAAGGAAGCACCGGCUAACUCCGUGCCAGCAGCCGCGGUAAUACGGGGGGUGCAAGCGUUACUCGGAAUCAUUGGGCGUAAAGGGCGCGUAGGCGGCCUGGCAAGUCAGUUGUGAAAGCCCGGGGCUCAACCUCGGAAGUGCAUCUGAUACUGCCUGGCUUGAGUAUGGGAGAGGGAAGUGGAAUUCCUGGUGUAGAGGUGAAAUUCGUAGAUAUCAGGAGGAACACCGGUGGCGAAGGCGACUUCCUGGACCAAUACUGACGCUGAGGCGCGAAGGCGUGGGGAGCAAACAGGAUUAGAUACCCUGGUAGUCCACGCA
rnacentral:rRNA from 1 species